UACGGGGGGGGCAAGCGUUGUUCGGAAUUACUGGGCGUAAAGGGCUCGUAGGCGGCCAACUAAGUCGGACGUGAAAUCCCUCGGCUUAACCGGGGGAACUGCGUCCGAUACUGGAUGGCUUGAGUUCGGGAGAGGGAUGCGGAAUUCCAGGUGUAGCGGUGAAAUGCGUAGAUAUCUGGAGGAACACCGGUGGCGAAGGCGGCAUCCUGGACCGGCAUUGACGCUGAGGCGCGAAAAGCCAGGGGGAGCAAACGGG
rnacentral:rRNA from 1 species